rnacentral:tRNA from 1 species
GGGUAUAGUUUAGUGGUAAAACGUCAGAUUGUGGCUCUGAAGUCGCGAGUUCAAUUCUCGCUACUCACCCCA